rnacentral:rRNA from 1 species
UACGGAGGGUGCAAGCGUUAAUCGGAAUUACUGGGCGUAAAGCGUGCGCAGGCGGUUUGUUAAGUCUGCUGUGAAAUCCCCGAGCUCAACUUGGGAAUUGCAGUGGAUACUGGCAGGCUGGAGUAUGGUAGAGGAGGGUGGAAUUCCCGGUGUAGCAGUGAAAUGCGUAGAGAUCGGGAGGAACACCAGGGGCGAAGGCGGCAUCCUGGCUCUGUUCUGACGCUGAGGCGCGAGAGCGUGGGGAGCAAACCGG